rnacentral:rRNA from 1 species
UACGGAGGGAGCUAGCGUUGUUCGGAAUUACUGGGCGUAAAGCGCGCGUAGGCGGCUUUGUAAGUUAGAGGUGAAAGCCCGGGGCUCAACCCCGGAACAGCCUUUAAGACUGCAUCGCUAGAAUCCGGGAGAGGUGAGUGGAAUUCCGAGUGUAGAGGUGAAAUUCGUAGAUAUUCGGAAGAACACCAGUGGCGAAGGCGGCUCACUGGACCGGUAUUGACGCUGAGGUGCGAAAGCCAGGGGAGCAAACGGG